rnacentral:rRNA from 1 species
CGGUGUUCAACUGGCGUGCCCGCGGGACGUCCUGCCGGUGAGCUCAGCCCGCGAGGGCGGCUCAACUUGAAAUCCCAUCGCGGUGCUCUUCAUUGAGUGUCGAGGUGGGCCGGCACGAUUACUUUUGAACAAAUUAGAGUGCUUAAAGCAGGCUAAAAUUUUGCCUGAAUACUGUGUAUAUGGAAUAAUGGAAUAGGACCUCGGUUCUAUUUUGUUGGUUUUCGGAACCCCGAGGUAAUGAUUAAUAGGAACGGAUGGGGGCAUUCGUAUUGCGACGUUAGAGGUGAAAUUCUUGGAUCGUCGCAAGACGGACUAAAGCGAAAGCAUUUGCCAAAAACGCUUUCAUUGAUCAAGAACGAAAGUUAGAGGUUCGAAGGCGAUCAGAUACCGCCCUAGUUCUAACCAUAAACUAUGCCAGCUAGCGAUCCGCCGACGUCCCUCUGAUGACUCGGCGGGCAGCUUCCGGGAAACCAAAGCUUUUGGGUUCCGGGGGAAGUAUGGUUGCAAAGCUGAAACUUAAAGGAAUUGACGGAAGGGCACCACCAGGAGUGGAGCCUGCGGCUUAAUUUGACUCAACACGGGAAACCUCACCAGGCCCAGACACUGGAAGGAUUGACAGAUUGAGAGCUCUUUCUUGAUUCAGUGGGUGGUGGUGCAUGGCCGUUCUUAGUCGGUGGAGCGAUUUGUCAGGUUAAUUCCGAUAACGGACGAGACUCUGACCUGAUAACUAGACGCACUUGCGGCAUCUCAAAGGUCCGCCGGCGGCUGGCUUUGCGCCCGUCGUCGCGCGCGAUUUUUACUGCCGGCGUACAAUAAAUUCUUCUUAGAGGGACAAGCUGG